rnacentral:rRNA from 1 species
GGCGAACCGUGCGAACGUUGUUCGGAAUCACUGGGCUUAAAGGGCGCGUAGGCGGGCUGACAAGUCUGGGGUGAAAUGCCGCGGCUCAACCGUGGAACUGCCUUAGAUACUGUCGGCCUCGAGGAAGGUAGGGGCAUGCGGAACUGUAGGUGGAGCGGUGAAAUGCGUUGAUAUCUACAGGAACUCCGGUGGCGAAAGCGGCGUGCUGGACCUUUUCUGACGCUGAGGCGCGAAAGCUAGGGGAGCAAACGGG